AGUGAACGCUGGCGGUAGGCCUAACACAUGCAAGUCGAACGGCAGCACAGUAAGAGCUUGCUCUUACGGGUGGCGAGUGGCGGACGGGUGAGGAAUACAUCGGAAUCUACUUUUUCGUGGGGGAUAACGUAGGGAAACUUACGCUAAUACCGCAUACGACCUACGGGUGAAAGCAUGGGAUCUUCGGACCUUGCGGGAUUGAAUGAGCCGAUGUCGGAUUAGCUAGUUGGCGGGGUAAAGGCCCACCAAGGCGACGAUCCGUAGCUGGUCUGAGAGGAUGAUCAGCCACACUGGAACUGAGACACGGUCCAGACUCCUACGGGAGGCAGCAGUGGGGAAUAUUGGACAAUGGGCGCAAGCCUGAUCCAGCCAUACCGCGUGGGUGAAGAAGGCCUUCGGGUUGUAAAGCCCUUUUGUUGGGAAAGAAAAGCAUCAGGUUAAUACCCCGCUGUUCUGACGGUACCCAAAGAAUAAGCACCGGCUAACUUCGUG
rnacentral:rRNA from 1 species